CUGGUGUCUCCCAAGCAACUCGGGUCAGAGGGACUGAGGCCUAUGGCAAGAUUCCAGCUCCACCCACCCCCAGACCUCUCCAGGGCCCUGGAUAACAAAAGGAAGCAUGGUGAGCAAGGGGAGAAGCUCUUCCUUCCCCUCCAACCCAAGCUCUGCAGGGCGCGUGGGCAGAGGCCAGAUCUGAUGACCUGGGCAGGGCAGCUCUUGCUUGGCGGGUCUUGCAAACUUGGACUAUCUGGGAUCUGAGUUCUGAUGGUGAACUGGGUUUCCUGGGCUGGGAGGGAUUCGCUUCCUUCCCCGUGGGACUCACCCUUCAACCUCAGCCUUCCCAGGCACUGUCUCUGGCCUUCCUGAGACUCCAGGGACCUUGGCAAAGAGAUCAUGAGCCACAUUAAGAAAGGAGUUUCAAGGUGCUUGGUUUUACAUAAUUAAGACUCCGGGUGGCCUUUGCAUCUCAAGUCAGUGGAAGCUGCCAUACUAUAGAAAAGAGACUAUCCCACUGAGUGACAGCAGGAUGCUGCCUGCGUGUGCGUGUCCCGUGUGUUGUUCUCUCUUUCCAUCACUCUCUCACUCAACCACACAAGCAAUAAAAUUCAGAAAAAAAUGUUCAGGUGUUUUAAAAGCAGAACCAUGUCGCUGUGAGUUUCAUGUUUCGCUCAACAAAGUCAUUCAGGUGGCAACAUCAUGAACAGGGACAACUGGGAUAAAAGCAGAUUCUUCCCAGGCAUUUAAAAGGAUGAGACAAAGGCAGUCCCUGCCCGUGUUACCUGUGUCUGUCAACAUGAUUCUGCAGUCUCUCAUGUAGACAUGCAAGAGUGGAAAGGAGUAGAGUUUGGAGCCAGAGAGAACUGGAGUUCAACUCUAGCCCUGCACCAUUGCUAGCAACACAACCCUGAGGAAGCUGCCUUCUGGGUGUUCUCACUUGCCUUGUGUCUAAAAUGGGAAUGGAUCCUGCAGGGAAGGCUUCAUGCCAAGAUCACAAGAGCAGCUUAGGCAAAGUGCUUGUGGCUGAGCCCGCUUGGCUGCUCAGCCAGUGGCAGGGUGUUCUCAAGAUGGCGGCCCUCCUCCUUCUCACCGUUUCCUCUGGGCAGGAGAAGAAAGUACAGUAUGGCUCCCUGUCUAAUUCUCCAUCUUCUGGGAUGACACACUUUGUGGCUCAGGCUUGUCUACAUGUCAAUGCUAGGUCUACAGCUGAGAAAUUUCCAAGCCCUUUCUCUUAUACGGCAUAUGGAGUCCAACACCGAGAGACUCUCCAUCAUUGAAUCUUCUUGGACCAAGAGAUGAAAAAAGUUUAUAAAGUUUAGUUUUAAAAAGCCACACAGCCGGCAGUGAGAUGAGCUACAACACGGAAUAGAAGAGCAGAUGCCAAAAUAAGAGGAAUAACUAUUGAG
rnacentral:lncRNA from 1 species